GUACCUUAUCAGUUAGAGGAGAUGGCCAGUCAGCCGUGUCUAUUGGAGCAACAGAAGGAGGAGUGCUUGAUGCUGCUGCUGCAUCACUGCUAGGUUGUGCUGCUGAUGUGGAGGCGACAGGAGGAUUUGCAACGGUGGGACUGAGAAACCUCAGCAGCGCAUCAGAAGACAGAAGAGGAGUAUGUGACACCAGUCUAAUAAUAAACACAUGAUUU